GUGAAAAGGAUCUAGGAGUCUUGGUUGACCACAAACUUGACAUGAGCCAACAGUGUGACGCGGCAGCUAAAAAGCCAAUUCAAUUCUGGGCUGCAUCAAUAGGAGUAUAGCAUCUAGAUCAAGGGAAGUAAUAGUGCCACUGUAUUCUGUUCUGGUCAGACCUCACCUGGAGUACUGUGUCCAGUUCUGGGCACCAUAGUUCAAGAAGGACACUGACAAACUGGAACGUGUGCAGAGGAGGGCAACCAAAAUGGUCAAAGGCCUGGAAACGAUGCCUUAUGAGGAACGGCUAAGGGGGCUGGGCAUGUUUAGCCUGGAGAAGAGGAGGUUAAGGGGUGAUGUGAUAGUCAUGUUCAAAUAUAUAAAAGAAUGUCACAUAGAGGAGGGAGAAAGGUUAUUUUCUGCUGCUCCAGAGAAGCGGACACGGAGCAAUGGAUCCAAACUACAAGAAAGAAGAUUUCACCUAAACAUUAGGAAGAACUUCCUGACAGUAAGAGCUGUUCGACAGUGGAAUUUGCUGCCAAGGAGUGUGGUGGAGUCUCCUUCUUUGGAGGUCUUUAAGCAGAGGCUUGACAACCAUAUGUCAGGAGUGUCGCUGAUGGUGUUUCCUGCUUGGCAGGGGGUUGGACUCGAUGGCCCUUGUGGUCUCUUCCAACUCUAUGAUUCUAUGAUUCUAUGAUUCUAUGAUUCUAUGAUUCUAUGAACUACCAAGUAUAGGAUUAAAUGUAGCACUUCAAGACCCUUCUUGUAAAUGUAGAACUGUAGCACUUUAAGACCCUUCUUGUCGCAGCUACUGUGAAUCCCACAGUGCAUGCUUGAAUAAUUCCACCUCACAAAUUAACCACAAUGAAAUAGAAAUGGAGCUAGUUAUGCAGUUUUACUCUCCUUUGAUUUUUGGGUACUGUUCUUAGAAAACAUUCAGCUUCUGCAAUAAUUUACAAGGGUUACUGGUUACUGAGACCUCAGCAGUGACAAAACUUGGGGCAGGGGUUGUAUUGGACAGUGUUUCUAAAAGAGAGAGAAUAUUGGGCACAGCACAAUAGCACCUGUAAUAUUACAUGUGUUGAUUAAAUGUUAUUAAGGACUCAUGUAAUUUCAUGCAGUGCUUUAGGGGGAGGGAACGUCAGUCCAUAAUCUCUGAAGUGGCUACCGCUAAUACUAUGGAAAAAGGAAAUAUGUAAAGGUGAUUAAGUGAACAAAUACCAUUGCUUUUCAUAUUAAAACAAUUAAGCUAACAUAGAUGCAAUAAGAGGUGAUAGUAAAUAUUAAUAAACUAAAAAUACGCACCAGCUAAGUGGGAAAGGAGACCAAACCAUCUAGCCCUGUCAAUGAGGACAAGCCGGAGAAUCCAGCAUUCAUCUUUUUCUUUUUAAGGAUUGCAGUCCUUCUAUAUUCUGUUCUGUAUCAUCACAGUCUGCAGAUGAGCAAUCUCUGUCUUCAACCUGACUUGCCAGCACAAUAGCCAUGAUUUAGCCCUUGUACCAUGAAACAGUAAAAUGAGCUGAGUUUUCUUUUAAAGCAGCUUUUUAAAUCACAUUUUCGGGGGAUCUUGGGGAGAGUCACAUAAGUAGGGAAUAUUAUAAAGAGAGAGACAAUUCUAUAGCUAUACGGCAUCAUAUGAAGAUACCAUUGAAAGGGAACUUGCAGAGCUGGCUCCAGACUUUGUUCCUGCCAGUGGGAGCAUCCUCUGAAUGGAGUUCAGGGGACACUCCUCCUGGCAGAGGGCAAUUUUUUAUUUCUUCCAAACACCACUGGGAUCCCAUCACUGAUUCAAGAGCAUUGUUUCAAGGGGAAGGAUUCUUUCUGUUUCCAGAAGGUAGAUCCAUCCCAUGCACAGCUUCAGCACUUAUUCAUGAUGUUUUUAUGUCAUGUUUCCCUCAAGGAGCUCAGAGUAGGAUACAAGAUCCCCUGUUUCAUCUUCACAAGAUAGGUUAGACUGAAGAAGUUGUGUCUGGCCCAAUGUGUUUCCUGGAUGUGAAAAGGCUCACAUUGAUCCUAGCCUCAUUAUACUGCUCUGGCUCAUUUUAAUAUCACAUAGGAAAAUUUGGGUACAUAACCAUCCCUCUCCCUUUACCCUUAUCACCCCAUUUCUGCUGUAUGUGUUUACCCCCCUCCCAUUGCAAUAGAAACAAUAGCUCCCCACCAUCUAAUACUGGCAACCAAUAACUCUACUAAGCCAUCAUCAAAUAGUCAGGACUCUGGAGCAGGAUGCAUAUUUCAGAUUUGAAAGUGUCAGAAACAAUAAUGAUUUCAAAGCCCACAGUCAGUUAUAAUUCCCACCUACCCACCCUUCUCCAUAUAUAAGGGCAGCAAAUCCAGGCAAGUGAAUGUGAUCCAGGUGAGAGAAUCAUACCCAUAUAGAAGUAGGUAACUGCAGAGGCCACCACAAUGAACCACCUCUCCACUCAGCCCCUCUUUGUUCUGCUUUGCAGAAGCUGGACUCCUUGCCUCAGCUGAAGGAGCCCUGGUCAAUCCACAGGCCCCCCACACCCUGCCUCAUAUUUCAGAUGUUACAGCAAGAUACCAUAGGAAAUUGUCUUCUACCAAGUCAAACUACUUUCCCACAGUCCAGUGUUGCCUAUUUUGACUGGAAGUGACUUUCUGGAGUCUCUGUGAUCAUUAACACUAUCUAUUAUAUUAUCCUUUUAACUGGGAUUGAACCGGAGGCCUUUGUAUGCAAAACAGGUGCUCUCCCACAACUCUCCCUUUCAGUAUUUUAGUUCUGUGGAAUAAGGAGCAUGAGGAAGAUGUCUGUGAAAGGAAAUAAAUAGGCCUAGUGAAAUAGUAAGAAAAAUAGGAGCACACUUAACAGGAUGUAGAGUGACUCUGUGGAGAUAGGAUAUAUCUUACAGAAGGUGUGGAUUGUGUGGCAGAGGGGAGAUGGAAGCAGAAGAAAUAAACUGGGCUAAUUAAGAAGAGGACGAUGAUCAAGCAUGAGGCCACCACUGCCUGAGAGCUGGCCACUUCUCAUUUUAUGCAGCAUAACUUUUUAUCUCAAUAUACUCUAUGUAAAUAUAAGAUAUAUAUUUUUCACUUGCUUUUGGAUUAUCUAUCAGGUGUUUUAAAAUUAUCCCCUUCAUGUGGGUAUAGAUUUAUUACCUUGGCUUCAAUAAAUGUUGAGAAUGGACACUGGAACAGAACUGUGCUUAAUUUAUAAAGUAUGAUUUCUGACCUAGUUGUUAUGCUACCUACUCUCAAGUAUUAGGACUCAGAAACAGGCAGUUGAAGUUAAUAGUAAAACAUACUCCACAGUGAUAGAAAUUCAUUAUGCACAUGCUGUGAGACACUGUCCUUGUUAUCAUGGCUUCAUUUCAUUUAUCUGAGCCCUUGUUAUCUUAAACUGGUUGGCAGGCAGAACAUGGCUGAAUCCUGGUUGAAAUUAAGCAUCAGAAUUAUAAUACAGUGGUUCAGGAACUGAAGGGCACAACCCACAUAUUUAGUUCCCAUAUAAAUCUAAGGAAUUUAAGGACCUAAGGAACAUAGCAUGUCAGACUACUUCUUGGUGCCAUUUUGGUUGCCCGCUGAUGAGUUGUAUUCAACAAUAGUCCUACUCAGAGUAGAACCAUUGUAGUUGAUGAACAUGACUGACUUGGGUUAAUUAUUUUCAAUUGGUCAACUCUGAGUAGGACAAGCUGGGCAUGGCCAGAGAGAGAAUAUCAACAACCAAUAUUUACCUAGCCUCCUGCUCUUCAGCGAGACAUAGGCAUUCCGGACUUAAGCCUGCUUAGGCCCAAAACAUUGAGACAGGAUAUUCCUGUGCACUCUUGUUAAGGGUCUUCCCUUAGAAUUCCAACAUGGGGUGAUCUGACUAUCCCUGGGGUUUGAGAUUUACUCGAGGAAACUGGAGGAGGAAAGGAGAAACUGGCAACUUCAGAGAUAUAAUUACACUGUAGAACCAUUCUGGAACAAUACUACUACUACUACUACUAAUUUUUUAUUUAUACCCCACCCUUCCCGGUUCAAAAAACCGGACUCAGGGUGGCUAAAAACAAAUUUAAAACACUUAAUUGAUGCAACAAAAAAACAGCAUAAAAUACAGUAUAAAAUGUGAAUAACAAUAAAUUCAGAACUCAAAAAUCAAUUUAGGGGGGAAAUCCAUCCAAUAAACAUUAGAUGAUCACCAGGGCUAGCUGGCUAAAUUAGUCCUAUUUGGGCCAGCAAAGGAGACCAGGAGAGAAUGUGGGAUCCCAGAGCGGGUAAUCUUCAUAAAAAGGGGAGGGGAAGGAAAGGAAGGGGAAUAAAAGAUCAGGCUAAGUUCAAAUUGGAAGCCAGGUGGAAUAGCUCUAUCUUACAGGCCCUGUGGAAGGAAGUUAAAUCCUGCAGGGCCCUGGUCUCAUGGGACAGAGCAUUCCACCAGGUUGGAGCCAUCACUGAGAAGGCCCUGGCCCUGGUGGAAGAUCUGACUUCCUUAGGGCCCAGGACCUCUAAAUUGUGAUUAUUCAUGGACCUUAAGGUCCUCUGUGGGGCAUACCAGGAGAGGCGGUCCCGUAAAUACGAGUGGUCUGCUGAAAGACUUACUGGUGAACAUAAUUUGUGAAGCAACAUUUCUGACAUAAAUACUUACUUGCAGCAGAUCUGGUACUUUAUUUGAACCCUUUUCUAGGUGCGGUACAUGUCUUCUUUGAUGUGCCCCUUCCCACCUUGGAUCUUUUUCUAAGAGCUUACAUUUCUUGACUAGUGGUCAACUUUCGGCCUGGUGGGUCACCGUUGUGCAGGCCUGUUCUAUGAUAUCACAGUGGUCAUUCUUAUAAUGUUUCCUGCAGGCCUAUAAUUUGUUUCUAUUUUCAAAUCCUAGCCAAAAAAGCAGUUUUAAUUUGUCGUAUCAAUAUACAGAGGCAGAAUAAUGUCUAGACAGUGCAUUUUUGCUUUAUGUCUCCCUCAGCAUAAGAGGGAAACUUUUAUGUUGCCAUCCCUAUUUAUGUAUUUGGUUUAGGGAUGCUCAUCUCCCAUUUUUCUUUCCUCUUAAUCUGAUUCAUGACAUUCUCCAAGGCCCUCCUUUCCUAAUGCAGCAGCAGCAGCAUGUAUUGAUAUACUGAGUUAAUAUCAUAACCCAUAUUGAAAUGUGCUCCUGUAAUGUCAUGGGGCCCAAUGAACCAACUAAAUAGUUUACGAUCUUAAAAUCAAUUGAUCUCUUAAAGAUGUCAAAUAACCAUGCCGAAGGAGAACAUUUAGCCAAGAUGCAUGCUGGGAAAUUUGGGAGUCAAUGCUUGCACUUUAAUCUUUAGGCCAGUGAUAAAAUCAGUCUUGUUUGCAGAGAAUGAUCCAGUUUAAGCUUGCAGACUUUUCUCCUUGUCUCCAGUAUUCACAAGGUAGCCAACCAAACUAGAUUAUUUAUUUAUUUAUUUAUAAUUUAUUUAUUGCAAAGUAAAUACAUCAAUACAAGACCAUAC
rnacentral:lncRNA from 1 species